AUACACAGGGAGAGAAACAGUGGAACUCCCCCAAACUUGAGAUCAAGAAUCAAGCAGAGGAUGAGACAGACAGUGGAGUCUUCUGUGGUUCUGACUCUUGAGCCAGGAUUAUUGCCAGAGAAGGAAAAUUCAAGCAGCUUCAUUUCCUAUGUUGCCAACAAUGAUCUACAUCAAAAUAUCAACUCUUGCCCUACCCUGUGCCUGAAAACCAAAUGUUUUCUUUCUCUUCGGAUUUAGCCUAUCUGGGUCCUCUAACCAGUGUAAAUAGAGCAGAAGAAGAAGAGGAAAGUUUUGAAAUGUGCUCCAUUUUUAUAAUCACAGAAGAGAACUGCCUAAGAGAGAAGGAAAGUUUCAGCAGUUGGAGUGUGAGUGUCCUUGUCCUUUAAAUCCAGGUGAAGGCUUACUGGAAUAUGUGCCCUUUUUUCCUAAGAGGAAGGGCUUAAGAGGGACUCUUGGGAACCUCUGAGAGCAUCACCACUUCUCACAGCUUCCACUGAUUUCAUUGGCGUCAGUCCUCAGCUGUGGCCAGUAAAGGGUGUUAACUGCAAAGAAGCUGCUUGCAACUCCCUGAUCUUGAAGCCAGCCUUGUCUUUUCAGCCAUGAUGUAAUUGUAAAGAAGUGCUGAGCUGAGUAUGGCCACAAGAAGCCUGGGCACCUGCCAGGGAACCUCUGGAGCUCAGUGCACUCUUGCCAUCCUCCACCCUCUCCCAUCCCUGGCCCCUCUUCUAUCCUGAGAGCCUGGUGGGGUUGCUGUAGUUGAGGGGUAUGCUAGCUCUGCACCACCCAGGGAUUCCACAUGCAAGGAGAAUCCCCAGCUGUAACGAUAACCAGGACUGGGGCAGGGAUCAGCACUGAGCCUGAUAUUUACAAACAAUAUAACAGAAGCUUCUAAUGUUUUAAGGCCUCUUAAUUUUAGCCAGAGGAAGAAAGGAAUUAAAGGACCCUACAGAGUCGCUGGCUUGUUUCCUUUUUUGAUUUUUUUGUUUUUAAUGAGCGAGCUUUUCCUGUCUGAAGUUUUGCUUGAAGUUUUAAAUGAAAUUCUAAUAGUAAAGGCCCAGAAUGUUUUUUUUUUAAGGCAAGCAGCGUCCCUUGACCUAUGUUUUUAAGCGUCUGUAGCCCUACAUAAAUUCAGAUAAAACUAGGUUUCUUCUAGUCUCCAGCUGUAAACCAUACCAGUUAGACCUGGAAGGAAGAAGACAAGGAAGAGGCACCCUGCCCCUGCUUUUUCCUUCAGAAAGCUAUUUUUAAAGAUCCUCAGUUCAGAGUUUAAGCAGAUUUGGACUCCAUGGUGAAUUAAGGUUUGCUACAAAUGGGCCACAACUAACUCUCACUCUUUCCCUUUACACUAUGGGUUUCAUCUUUUCUUAGGUUAAAAAAAAAAAAGAUAGAGAUGAAACUGAACAGCAAAGUAUGGCUACAAACUCCCUCAAAGUUUGAGGCGGAUUAGGGUUGGAGCUGUGUCUAGCACAUACACAUAUGUGAAAUAUAUAUAGGCAUUCCUGGCUUAAAGAGAAAAAGGAAUCAAACUUUGAUGGAUAGGAGAAGUGUAGGUACUGCCUGGGAAGUUUUCUCUUUCAAUUAAGGAAAAUCCUAUAGAAUUUAAUAGAAAAGUUUGAUCUUUCUAAAGAAUCUUUAAGCUAACUAUAGCAUGCUAGAGCAGGGAUACAAUUCUCUAUGAAUGUACAUGAGCUAGAUUCUCAGCAUAGGUCUAUUGACUUCAAUAGAAUUCGGCCAAUAUACAGUCACUGAGAGUCUGGCCCUUUAGGCUGGCAUAGAUAUUCUCUGGAAAGGACUUCCGUCUCUAUUAAAUUCUGUAGGUUUGGAGAGUGGAUAGAGAAGGAUAUCCUCAUCAGAAAUCCAGUAACCAAACCAAAUGCCUCCUCCUUCUCCCCAAACAUAUCUAAUCACAAGCUUUCUGAAGCAAAGCUCUUCCGUGACAGCCGCAGAGUCAGUGCACCGAAAAGCAGCUAUAGAAGCACCUUUGAAAUUGAGAGGCUGACAUUAUAGAUUGGUUUACAAUAAGAAAAUGAUUCUCAGUCAUUGUGUCCAGGCUUGUGCGGAUUGCUUGUAACCGUACCUUUUCAUUAUCCAUUGCAUUUAUCAGAUAGUGGGUAACGGUAUCUAGUUCUUUUUACUAUUCUAGGAACAAGUGGAAAUGCAGUUGAAAUGAUGGACAAAUGGCAUACCAGAGCAGGAUGGGUACUGUAAACUAGAGAUAGUUUUGAUCUAGUUAUUCAUCUCCUUUGGCAGAUUACUUGAAAACAAGUAAGCUAACAGCACAUUCCAGGCAGCAUAGUAUCAUAGCAGCACAGGAGCAGAGAGUUCACUGCAGGUUGCAGAUUGAUGACUGGGGAAAGGGAGAAGAACAAAUGUGUAUCACACACAUGAUUGACAGAGCAGAAAUACAGUCCUAAGGCAAAGCUUUCAGAAAAGACCAAGUAAGUCAGUGCAGUGUAAUCUGAGCAUAGCAUAUGCUGAUGUCCUUUGGAUAUACACAGGUGACAGAUGUCUUUUGUCCAGGUCAGGCAAAUACCCCUAGUGCAAGAACAAGGGAGUCAGAGAGAAAAUGAAUGGAGAAAUUUAGUUAGGUCUAGAGCAGAAGCAAUAAGUUUUUUUCAAACUGUCUUUUGUGCCACAGCUUCUGACCUAAAAAUAUGUAUGGAUAACUUCAUAUCUUAAGUAUUCCUUAAUACUUCCCUUUGGUUACUGUAGGAAUUACCUUGUAUAUUGCAAAUAUUUUAUUAUUUAGCUGCGAUUUUUAUUUUGUUAUCUAAAUGACAAUUCCUUGUAAACAUCCACAAAGUUACCUACUUAUCCAACUUCAAAUCCCUCCUUAAAACUCUCCUUUGUCAUAAUGCCUACAAAAAACUUGACAAGUUAGGUUGCUGGUGUGUUGAGUCUGACUGCCUCUCAUGCUGACCAAUACUGUCCCAUUGUUUCCUUGUACUCCAUUAGUCUGUCUCUAUCCUUCUAUUGUCUCUUGUCCUAUACUUACAUUGUAAACACCUCGAGGCAGGGACUGUUUUUUUGUUCUGUAUUUGUACAGCUCCUAGCAUAACAGGAGCCCCAGUCACUGACAAGGACUCCAGGCACUAUGGUAAUACAAAUAAUAAUAAAUCACUGCACACAAAGAUUGUGCAGAACAACAAAUGUUAACUAGGAAGAGACCUGAGCCAUAAAUGUCAGAUCCAAACUAUCCAGAAGUGCAGGACUGUGCAAACUGGAGGAUUUGUUUCAUGACCAUCCCUAUUAAAAACCUAAUAUUUUAUGAAAACAGGAAGUUCUGUAAAGCAGCCUCCCAUCUCCUGACCCAAAGGAGAAUGACCCAGAUCCUCAAAGGUAUUUAGGCACCUAUUUCCCAUUGAGGACCUGAGCUAAAGUGUUACAACCUGAUUCUCUUUAUACUUGCACUAGUUUUAUAUCACUGAUUUUACAAGAGUUACUCCAUUUUUACACUGGUGUGAGAAGAAAAGCAGGCCCCAUCUUUCAUAAAAUGCAGAGGCUUCUCAGCAGAAUGUAAACAAAAGACAAAACAAUGUAUUAACUAAAACUGGCUAAUACAAUAUUUGUAAUAAAUAAUAAAGAAGUUUAAAUGUC